UACAGAGGUCUCAAGCGUUGUUCGGAUUCAUUGGGCGUAAAGGGCGCGUAGGCGGUCAGUGCAAGUCAGUUGUGAAAUCUCCGGGCUUAACUCGGAACGGUCAACGGAUACUGCUCGACUAGAGUGCGGAAGGGGCAACUGGAAUUCUUGGUGUAGCGGUGAAAUGCGUAGAUAUCAAGAGGAACACCUGCGGCGAAGGCGGGUUGCUGGGCCGACACUGACGCUGAGGCGCGAAAGCUAGGGGAGCGAACGGG
rnacentral:rRNA from 1 species